UACAGAGGGGGCAAGCGUUGUUCGGAAUUACUGGGCGUAAAGGGCGCGUAGGCGGCCUUCUAAGUCGAACGUGAAAUCCCCGGGCUCAACCCGGGAACUGCGUCCGAUACUGGAAGGCUUGAAUUCGGGAGAGGGAUGCGGAAUUCCAGGUGUAGCGGUGAAAUGCGUAGAUAUCUGGAGGAACACCGGUGGCGAAGGCGGCGUUCUGGACUGUAACUGACACUGAGAAACGAAAGCCAGGGUAGCAAACGGG
rnacentral:rRNA from 1 species